CUGCAACAGCAAAAAAAUCUCAUAAAUAAAAUCUUCAACGACCAUAAAAUCUUUAACAACCAUAAAAUUUUCAACGAUCAUAAAAUCUUUAAUGACCAUAAAAUCUUUUGAAAUCUAAACUAAUUUUACAACACUAUCUUCCUCUUGGUGUGGCAAACUACUAAAUUAUCCUUGAAAUUGAAUUGCUCUUUCUUCAGCUUUCCUUCUUUUUACUUCUUUUCUAUGUGCCUUUGCUGUCUUUUCAAUUUUGAAAUGAUAGAGUAGAAACUCCUCCCCACUCCUUGAUCUUCUAAAAAAAAACUACAAAAUUCAAAAAUAAAACAAGUAAAAGAUAAUAAAAGAAAAGAUUAAAAGAAAAAAUGUCCAAUCAACUAAACAAUCAAUCAGCUAAUAUCAAACAAAACUAAUUCCUUGGCAAUGACACCAAAAACUUAUUGUGACACCGCAAGAAUACGGGUCGCACAAGUAAUAUAAUGAUAGAGUAGAGUCUACAAAAUUCAAAAAUAAAACAAAUAAAAGAUAAUAAAAGAAAAAAUUAAAAGAAAAAAUGUCCAAUCAACUAAAUAAUCAAUCACCUAAUAUCAAACAAAACUAAUUC
rnacentral:lncRNA from 1 species